AUGACUCAUUCGCUUGUU
rnacentral:snRNA from 1 species